rnacentral:lncRNA from 1 species
GGUGAGGCUCACAAAGCCAAGGGCCCUAAGCACACAGGGGACUGGAGAACAGACAUUUUCCUUCUGUUCUUCAACCAUUCAGUGAACAGCUGGGCACCAAGAAAAUGAGCAGGUGAUUUCAGAUUUACGAAGCUGCAUUCUGACCCCCUAGGCAGAGUCUUCGAGAACAGAAGACACGAAUGCAUUUGCUUCAGCAAAAGAGACAUGUAUCUUAGAAACCUAUCAAAAAUAUUUGAAUACAGCUACCUCGGCAAUCUCUGCUCUACGGGCUCCUCCCCCCACCUUUCUUUUAACCUUUGCCUGAGAAGAAUUUAAAUGGCAUAUUUAGUGGCUGUAUAUUGUGCUUCCUGUACCCACUGCUGCAUAAAAGGGAUUGAUUUAAAUCGCUUACAGUAACCAUGUGGGGGAGGAGGGUCUAGUUUUCUGCACCAAAUGCUCCAGGAUGCAUAAUAAGCAACCACAAAUACAGACAACAAAUGAGUGUGCUUGCAUUUGUCUCUUCUCUGGUAAAGAAUUAUUCUUUAGUACGGAUGGACUGCACACUUUUAGCAUCAACAAGAGAGCAGCUCAGAUGUGCGAGCACCAAUAAAGGAUACUUAAGCCUCCGUCCCCCAGGGUUUCUUAAAAUGAGCUUAAGGACCAUUUGCCUUCCUGGAGAGAGAUGUGGAUGGAAGAGGUGUCCUGCUCCAAUCCAUGACUUUAGCAUGAGGAAAGCAUUCAGGAUGAAUGAAAGAAAGAACAGAGCAGAAUCAGGAUGCCUGGGUAAGAGACAAUAAGUCAAAAUAAGAUGAAAUGAGAACCCAAACUACAGAGUGGCAGCGAAAAUGCAGAGUGAAUGUGGAAAACUUGAUGAAGGUAAAAUCUGAAGAUCUUGGCACCUAAUUGGAUUCGCAUGAGGAGAACCAGAGAAGGGAGAGUCACUCAUGUCCGGGAGGAAAGAGCACAGCAUUUGUAACCUAGAAACCUGGACUGAAGGUCUUUAUUCUGCCAUUUACUAGUUUUGUAAACUCUGGGAAGCCAUUCACCUCUGAGUCUCAUUUUUAUCGGUUGCAAAACAAGGCUGGAAAUACCUACAAAAUAAAUGAGAAAAUGUAUUAAAUGUCUGAAA